rnacentral:rRNA from 1 species
GACGAACGCUGGCGGCGUGCUUAACACAUGCAAGUCGAACGGUAAGGCCCUUCGGGGUACACGAGUGGCGAACGGGUGAGUAACACGUGGGUGAUCUGCCCUGCACUUCGGGAUAAGCCCGGGAAACUGGGUCUAAUACCGGAUAGGACCACUGCCUGCAUGGGUGGUGGUGGAAAGCUUUUGCGGUGUGGGAUGGGCCCGCGGCCUAUCAGCUUGUUGGUGGGGUGAUGGCCUACCAAGGCGACGACGGGUAGCCGGCCUGAGAGGGUGACCGGCCACACUGGGACUGAGAUACGGCCCAGACUCCUACGGGAGGCAGCAGUGGGGAAUAUUGCACAAUGGGCGCAAGCCCGAUGCAGCGACGCCGCGUGAGGGAUGACGGCCUUCGGGUUGUAAACCUCUUUCAGCACCGACGAAGCGCAAGUGACGGUAGGUGCAGAAGAAGGACCGGCCAACUACGUGCCAGCCGCCGCUGUAA